CUGACCGUAAACUAUGCCAUCUAACGAGUCGGUAUUGGUUAUUAUAUUGCCAUUUUGACGAGUUACCCGGAAACGAAAGUCUUUCGGUUCCGGGGGGAGUAUGGUUGCAAAACUGAAACUUAAAGGGAUUGACGGAAAGUCACCACCAGAAAUGGAGCCUGCGGCUUAAUUUGACUCAACACGGGAAAACUCACCCGGUCUAGACACUAAAAUGAAUGACAGACUGAUAUAUCUCUCAAGAUAUAGUGCAAAGUGGUGCAUGGCCGUUCUUAGUUCGUGGAGUAAUCUGUCUGGUUAAUUUCGAUAACGAACGAGACUAGAACAUGGUUAAUUGUGUGUGGUAUUAUUAUUUACUUACACGGUGAUAAAUGGAUAUGCAAAUUAAAUUGCCUGAAAACUGGCAAUAACAGGUCUGUUAUGCCCUUAGUUGUCCGGGGCCGCACGCGCGCUACAAUGGAAAUUGCAGUGCGUAUCUACUAUAUCGAAAGAUAUGGUUAAACGUGUCAAAUUAUUCCGCAUUCGGGAUCGGAAACUGUAAUUGUUUUCGUGAACGAGGAACUUCAAGUAAGUGUGUGUCAUUAGCGCACGCUG
rnacentral:rRNA from 1 species